AGAUCAUUACUGAACAUGGUGAUGGAAUAGUAAUUUAUAAAAUGUCAUGUUACCAUGUGAUAAAACACCUCAAACAACAAUACAUGAGGAAAUACUUUAAUUUUCCGACCAUGACAAUGCACCAAAGACUGUAAUAUCAUGAAGCCGUGAAUUUAAAGAAAAUGUAUCAAAUGACAAAGACAGUGAUGAAAUUGGAUGCUUCAGUCGAAAUAAAAGAAUGGAAUGGUAUGGUCAGUAAUGGAUAUUUGUGGCUAUACUAAAUGGAUACAAAGAGACUAUGAUGGGUAAAUAUGGCACUGUAAUGGUAGUCAGUUAAUGGAUAUACAAAGGUCACAGAAAUGUCUACUUUCAGGUGAUGUUUUUUCUUGUUUGCCUGCAAACAGGCUGUAGAUGUGUAGAUACUUGUACCCAGGCCAUUGUUUGUUUUUUGUUUUGGGUACAAUGAAGUCGGUGAAGGCUAUUUCAGUUACGGUAGAGCACCUUGUCCCUAGCCCUUUUUCGACGAUGCUGUUAAUUCAAUAUGGCGCCAAGCUAAGGAGUGCAGUUUAAUGGAUUUUAUAUUCUAUAUUUUCUACUGUUUUUGGUUGGUAGAACUUAUCUUGUGAAAUGUCAGAUAUGUUAGUCCUUAUCUGAAAAAAUAUUUUAUAACAGAAUUUCUCUCUAACAUAAUUUAGAAUAUAAUAUAGAAUAUAAUAAAUUAAACUCAUAGAAAUAUUAGACUUGGUGUUUGGUCACGUGACCGGUAUCCAAAUUGAGAACAAAAAUGCCCUUGUAAAUCAGGAAUGUUGAAUUUGAGUAGAGUGCAAACUACAAACUUUAAAGGACAUUGGCAACCAACAUUUUUAUUACUUAUAUCUAUUAGGUAUACUUACGGAAUAUUUAAUUUCAUAUUUUGACCGGUUUGUCGCG